rnacentral:rRNA from 1 species
UAAUACGUAGGGGGCGAGCGUUGUCCGAAGUUACUGGGCGUAAAGCGCGCGUAGGCGGCUAACUAAGUCUGAGGUGAAAGGUUCAACGCUCAACGUGAACAGUGCCUUGGAGACUGGUUGGCUUGAGUGUGGCAGAGGAGCAUGGAAUUCCUGGUGUAGCGGUGAAAUGCGUAGAGAUCAGGAGGAAUACCAAUGGCGAAGGCAGUGCUCUGGGCUAACACUGACGCUGAGGUGCGAAAGCGUGGGUAGCGAACGGGAUUAGAUACCCCGGUAGUCCACGCCGUAAACGAUGAGUGCUAGGUGUAGGCGGUAUCGACCCCGCCUGUGCCGUCGUUAACACAUUAAGCACUCCGCCUGGGGAGUACGGCCGCAAGGUUG